rnacentral:rRNA from 1 species
UAAGGAAUAUUGGGCAAUGGACGCAAGUCUGACCCAGCCAUGCCGCGUGCAGGAUGACGGCCCUACGGGUUGUAAACUGCUUUUGUACGGGAAAAAACCCUCGCUCGUGAGCGGGGCUGAUGGUACCGUAAGAAUAAGCAUCGGCUAACUCCGUGCCAGCAGCCGCGGUAUUACGGAGCAUGCAAGCGUUCUCCGGAAUCAUUGGGUUUAAAGGGUCCGCAGGCGGGAUAAUAAGUCGGAGGUGAAAUCCGACGGCUCAACUGUAGAGCGGCCUUUGAUACUGUUAUCCUAGAGUGUAGUAGAUGUGGGCGGAAUAUGUCAUGUAGCGGUGAAAUGCUUAGAUAUGACAUAGAACACCGAUCGCGAAGGCAGCUCACAAAGCUACAACUGACGCUCAGGGACGAAAGCGUGGGGAUCAAACA